rnacentral:rRNA from 1 species
UACGAAGGGGGCUAGCGUUGCUCGGAAUCACUGGGCGUAAAGGGUGCGUAGGCGGGUCUUUUAAGUCAGGGGUGAAAUCCUGGAGCUCAACUCCAGAACUGCCUUUGAUACUGAAGAUCUUGAGUUCGGGAGAGGUGAGUGGAACUGCGAGUGUAGAGGUGAAAUUCGUAGAUAUUCGCAAGAACACCAGUGGCGAAGGCGGCUCACUGGCCCGAUACUGACGCUGAGGCACGAAAAGCGUGGGGGAGCAAAACAGG